rnacentral:rRNA from 1 species
UACGUAGGGUGCGAGCGUUGUCCGGAAUUAUUGGGCGUAAAGAGCUUGUAGGCGGUUUGUCGCGUCUGCUGUGAAAAUCCGGGGCUCAACCCCGGACUUGCAGUGGGUACGGGCAGACUAGAGUGUGGUAGGGGAGACUGGAAUUCCUGGUGUAGCGGUGAAAUGCGCAGAUAUCAGGAGGAACACCGAUGGCGAAGGCAGGUCUCUGGGCCACUACUGACGCUGAGGAGCGAAAGCGUGGGGAGCGAACGGG